rnacentral:rRNA from 1 species
GAUGAACGCUGGCGGCGUGCCUAAUACAUGCAAGUCGAGCGAACAGAUGAGGAGCUUGCUCCUCUGACGUUAGCGGCGGACGGGUGAGUAACACGUGGAUAACCUACCUAUAAGACUGGGAUAACUUCGGGAAACCGGAGCUAAUACCGGAUAAUAUAUUGAACCGCAUGGUUCAAUAGUGAAAGACGGUUUUGCUGUCACUUAUAGAUGGAUCCGCGCCGCAUUAGCUAGUUGGUAAGGUAACGGCUUACCAAGGCAACGAUGCGUAGCCGACCUGAGAGGGUGAUCGGCCACCCUGGAACUGAGACACGGUCCAGACUCCUACGGGAGGCAGCAGUAGGGAAUCUUCCGCAAUGGGCGAAAGCCUGACGGAGCAAAGCCGCGUGAGUGAUGAAGGUCUUCGGAUCGUAAAACUCUGUUAUUAGGGAAGAACAAAUGUGUAAGUAACUAUGCACGUCUUGACGGUACCUAAUCAGAAAGCCACGGCUAACUACGUG